UUCCUUCAGGACACCCAUGAUUACAUGUGCCCACCAGAUGCUAAGGUAUUACAAAGAACGAAAGGAGGUUACAACUUAGCUAGACAGAAGAAAGGAAAAGUAUACAACACAGCGCAGUCUAGGCAAACAGAGCUGAAGAAGGGUGUAGUAGUUCCUGUUCUUUUCCUCCCUCACUUCCUGGCCUCAAGUGAUCUGCCUGCCUGGGCCUCCCAAAGUGCAGGAUUACAGCUGAUGACUCCCGGAAUGUCCUGACUGCAAGGAACAUGUACUAUGGACCCAUCAGAAGUGAGCUCAUUUUCUAAACAUCUGUGUUGCCAACAGGCACACACCUAAGUUUCCUCCUAUGGCCACCUGUGGAUCACCCUGACCUUCAAGGCUGGUAGCCAAAGUUCUGCUUCCACCCCCACUAUCUGCAAGGUGGCACUUUUCAGUCUUGAUGGAUAAAUGUUAAAAUCACAACCAACAAUUCUUAAUCAUCCCUAUGAUUUUCAAAGGAAAACGCUACUGUAUUGUCAAACUUUUUCUCUACAGGCUAAAAUAAAAAUAAAUGAAUACUGAGAAAA
rnacentral:antisense_RNA from 1 species